GGACCAAGGAGUCUAGCGUGUGCGCGAGUCAUUGGGAAUAACUAAACCUAAAGGCGAAAUGAAAGUGAACGUCCGCUUUAUGCGGACCGAGGGAAGACUGUCGAUCUCCACGAUCGACAAGCAUUCCCGGGGCGUCUCGUUCUCAUUGCGAGAUGAGGCGCACCAAGAGCGUACACGCUGGGACCCGAAAGAUGGUGAACUA
rnacentral:rRNA from 1 species